UACGUAGGGUGCGAGCGUUAAUCGGAAUUACUGGGCGUAAAGCGUGCGCAGGCGGUUUUGUAAGACCGAUGUGAAAUCCCCCGGGCUCAACCUGGGAAUUGCGAUGGAGACUGCAAGGCUAGAAUCUGGCAGAGGGGGGUAGAAUUCCACGUGUAGCAGUGAAAUGCGUAGAUAUUCGGAGGAACACCAGUGGCGAAGGCGGCUCACUGGUCCAUUACUGACGCUGAGGUGCGAAAGCGUGGGGAGCAAACAGG
rnacentral:rRNA from 1 species